AGCAUCUCUGCAACUCUGCCUCCCUUGUAUCACGUUGGAUUCUAUGCUUGAUAGCUGCAGAAUGCUUGAGUUUCAGACUCUGUUCUCAUCUUUGCGGGGAGCCUGAAACUACCUGGUGUUGCCUUUGCCUGAAGAUUCAUCUGUUACUCAAGGGAAAGUCAUUGGACGCCUGGCAGAAUUGCCCAUUAAAACUGUGUUCUCCUAUGUGCUUCAUUAGAAGAAAGGUGACACAGGGGAGUCUGUUAUUUUGCCUCAGCAUCAAGAGAAAAGCAACCAAGACAACACAUGCAAACAUCACGUAGUUUCUCUGGUGUGAGAAGCUGAGAGUGUAAACAAGGACCAGGAUGUAUAUUAGAUAUUAUGAAAUAGGAAAAAAGUACUCAGUUGGGAAGGGUACCAAGGAAAGGGAGGAGGAGGAAAAGAAGGAGGGGAAAAGAAAAAGAAGAGAUAAAAAUGGGAAAAAAGCUUUUGUAAGUAAGUAUGGGAAGAGGAGUUGAAAUGGGAAGGAGAUGGAGGACAAAAAGAGCUAAGUCAUGUGGAGGUACAAAGUCCACAUGAUGAAAGUGAUCAUUACAUAUAUUUAAUAUGCAUCAAUGACUUUAACUGGUAAUAAACAUUGUGGAGGAGAUGAGAAAAUAUAUCUGGUUUUGGCAAUAAUAUUUAGUUCAAUUUUGCUUAAUAAAAUAGAGCUGGGAAUGUAAUUCCCUUCCAAAUAAAGAAGAGUAGAACAAUAACAACAGGACAAAGAAAAUUGCUUCAAGUGAUGUUACACCCCUUGACUUUCAGAGAGUUAAUAAAAUCGUUUAUUAUUUGUUUUUUAUUAACAAAUAAUGGUAUGGUAUGGUAUGGUCUAAAAUCACAUAUCAAAAUCUUCUCCAGUUCUCUACUUAAUUCAGAAUGCUUUUUAGUAAUUAUUAAAAAAAACACUAGUUUUGUAAUAACAAAUGAAGUCAAAUGGCAUGUUAAUAUAAGAUGAACGUUUAGCUUGUAAACUGAGGCUGUGGCUUCAAAAUAACUAAAAAUGUGGCCGGAACUGUGGAGAAACUUGCUAAUACUGCUGAGUAUUGGAUAGUGCUGAGUAUUGUGGCAGAAAUAUACAAAUGAUAUUUUUAAAGAGAAAGCUGUCUUCACAGUCUCAUACUAACAUUUCACAAACUUUACAGUAUAGGAAAAUUUUGGGAGAAUCAGUUUCCCAUGUGACACAUGACCUUGGAAACAAAAGAACAAAUGAUGCACUUUGUGUGUACAUUUUGCCAUAUUUACAUCAUCGGUGGAUUAGGUAGCUCAAAGAUUCUUUUAUAUAAUUACUUAAAUCUUACUAUUAGUAGAUGACAUGAUAUUUUAUUAGUGUAUAUUAAUUAUACAGAGAAGAAACGUUUUAAAUUACUAUUUUAAUGUUGAGUUUUUGCAGCUUACUUUGUGUAACUCAUCAAAAUAAAGUGGUAGUGGUUCAAUUUGUCUUUUUAAGAAGAUCAUGAUAAUAAUAUUGAAUGAUGUUCUAUCAUGCUCAACUCAAAGAAGUCCAUCUAAUUAGAUCUAUUUACAAUGAAACCCGUUAAAACUAUUGAUUUUCAUAAAAGUUAUACCUACAAAAUUCAUUUUUCAGUGUACUUUAAUAGUAACCGAAAAUUUUAUUUUUGAUUAUGAAUUUAUAUUUUAAGUGGACAUAUUUAAGUCUCAUGAUGAAAUUGCUUGUCAAAAAUACAAUUGACUAACCAUUUUUUUUAAAAAAAAGUUCGUCAUAUUAUACAUGUUUUAUGAACUCUGCCUAUUGGCUCCAUGAUGGGGGUCGGGAGGAGACUAUUCAGCAAGAAGACAAAGCUUGCCUUCCUGUUAACCAGCUGGCACACGAAAUGGGAAACCUGAAGAACAUGCCCCGCUCCCUGGAAGCAGUUGGCUGAUUCAGAGGACUCAGUCUUACAGGUUUAGAGGCCAGACUGUCCAGCAGAGAGACUGCAGUUUCCUACUGUUUCCGCUUAUUUCCAUCCUUAACAACACAAUUACAAAUAAACGGUGACUGCCCGGGCUGUCUCUGACACUGAUGCGAGGAGAAAUAUGGCAGCAACCUGGCAGCUUGAGCAGCUCAAAUCGUAAACACUUAAGAAGAAGAGCACACUGAAAAUGACUCUGCAGAGAGUGUGGAAAGAAACAAAGAAAGAUACAAGAGGUGGACUCCGCUACCUUCGCAAAGGGGAAUGUGAUCUGAACUAAGGAAAUAUUUUUAUAUUUGACAAGAAUAGAUACAUGUGAAAAUAUUUAGUGGUAUAAUUAAUACAAUGUGCACAUCAACAGUAUGUGAAAAGUGAGACGGGAGAGUUAGACGGCUCCAAGUUUCCUGGAAGUGAUGGUGUUUUGGUUGAGAUUAAAUGAAAGGAUGUUUACAAACUGCACAAGAGGUCACAGCAGGAGGCAGGACCCUGCAAAGACGAAGAGGAGUAAUCUUACCCAGCUCUUCUUCUUUUCCUUGCUCACGUUCUCUCCUUUCCCUUUUGUGUGUGUUUUUU